UACGAAGGGGGCUAGCGUUGCUCGGAAUUACUGGGCGUAAAGCGCACGUAGGCGGUUUCUUAAGUUUGGUGUGAAAUCUCCCGGCUCAACUGGGAGGGUGCGCCGAAUACUGAAUGACUUGGAGUGCGGGAGAGGUGAGUGGAAUUCCUGGUGUAGCGGUGAAAUGCGUAGAUAUCAGGAGGAACACCGGUGGUGUAGGCGGCUCACUGGACCGUAACUGACGCUGAGACACGAAAGCGUAGGUAGCAAACAGG
rnacentral:rRNA from 1 species